rnacentral:rRNA from 1 species
GGAAUCUUGCACAAUGGGGGAAACCCUGACCCAGCGACGCCGCGUGGGUGAUGAAGGCCUUCGGGUCGUAAAGCCCUGUCAAGAGGAACGAAUGUCUCUACGGCAAAUAGCCUUAGGGAGUGACGGUACCUCUGAAGGAAGCACCGGCCCACUCCGUGCCAGGAGCCGCGGUAAGACGGAGGGUGCAAGCGUUGCUCGGAAUUAUUGGGCGUAAAGGGUGCGUAGGCGGCUCCUCAAGUCUGGCGUGAAAGCCCAGGGCUCAGCCUUGGAAGUGCGCUAGAAACUGAGGGACUUGAGUACCGGAGGGGAGAGUGGAAUUCCUGGUGUAGCGGUGAAAUGCGUAGAUAUCAGGAGGAAUACCGGUGGCGAAAGCGACUCUCUGGACGGUAACUGACGCUGAGGCACGAAAGCGUGGGUAGCAA